rnacentral:lncRNA from 1 species
AGAACCACUUUAGAAAGUAAACAUGUUUAUGUUUUAAGGUGAGCUGCAGUUGAGCGUCCACAUGGAAUGGGUGAGCAGCUUGUUUUGUGUCUGGCUAUGAUGUAGUUUUGUCAUGUUGUUUGAGCUCUGCCCCUUAUAGAAAAACAAUCAGAUGGUUAUUAGGUUCCCUGACAUUAACACGUGACAUUGCAGGGGUGUGUAUGCCCUGUGGUCAAUUGAUUGGCGUGGGGAUUAUGCCAUCGGGGGAAUGAGUAUGGAAUUUGCUAGGUGCUUUGCUCUGGUAAUCAGGACUUUAUCUCUAAUCUAAGAGAGAGGAUUGAGUUCCUUAACAAUGACCAGAAAAUGCUUUUAGGAAGAUUCCUUUCUAGACAACAAUUUCUUAAGUUUGCAGUAAACAUGUGGGUCACCCUGGCCAGGGGACACCUGCAAAGAGCUUGGUGGCUAAGUACCUUUGUCUUCAAAGUCAAUGAAAGAAUGUCAUAGAAUCUAUAAAGAAACUUUACCUGAAAGAGGAAAAUAACGGGGAAGGGGUGGGUGCUGUUGUUCAUGAUAUGUUGGUGAGGGACUCUGGCCCUAGUCCCUUUUGUGAGAAGUUUAAUUUUCCCCAAGUACUAUUUGGUGACAAGACUCUCACCA